rnacentral:lncRNA from 1 species
CGGGGCCUAGACCCCACAAGGGUCCCUGGCCACCCCCAGGGCAAACCCUGUCCUACGCACAUCAAAUCUGGAAAACUCAGUCCCAGAUGCCACGAAGUAAGAAAAUGUCUUCCCCUCGGCCCACCUCUGAGGUCAGGACCUGAAGAAGGCGUUAGGAGGAGAAGGGAGGCCAGGAGAGGCCGUGGGCACCUCACCUGGCUAACGCCCACCCAGGCUUUCUGCUGAGACGGGCCCUCCCGCCGGACCCCUUCCCUGCUCCCUCUGGACUGGGCCAGGCCCUUCCCCGGGGACAGCAUGAGACUCCCUGGAUUAGAACCACUUCUGUACCUGACCAGCUCCCAUUAGGACGUCGAUGCCGGGGUAGGGGCAAAGGACCAGUCUAUUUGAUCACCAUCUUCUCUGGGGGCCCUGGCAAAGUUCCUGGGACCUGGGAGAUGUGCCCUGCAGGGUCUCGGCAGGAAACAAACGGACGCACUCGAGUGAGGCAACUGAGGCAGACCGGUUCAACUCAAUACACUGUACACCCUACACUUACACAACGGGACAUGGCAAUUAUAUCUCAACUUACAAACAAAGGAAGAACUCCCUGGCCUGAGUGUGAAUAG